rnacentral:rRNA from 1 species
AUGAGAGAGUAUGCGGUUUGCAGAGUUUGUUUGAACCGUUGCGACUAUGAGAGAAAUGAGGACUCUUUCAGCAUGUAUGUGUCAGAAGCCUUCAAAAACCGAGGGGUUGUGGCAUGCAAUGAAAGGGUGCACUUCGACAUCAUUAUAGAAGAGGAGGUGACAUUCGUGGCAAACACUCGUACAUACACUGUAAGGUGCUACAAGGGUCGCACACAUAGUGCAAUGUAUGGGAGUGGUUGGAAGAAGUUUUAUGAAGACAACAAGCUGGGGAAGGGUCAGUUGGUGUAUUUCUUCCUGGAUCAGCCUUCCCCAAUGGCAGCCAUUUUAUUUCUCCAGCUGGGCAACGGCUCUAAAGACGAAGAUCCCAUGGAAGGAGAUGAUGAAGAUGCAGACGAAGAUGAUGAGCAUGGGGGAGCUCCCCAUGACAAUGAUGAAGGCAUUGUUCGCACAAGGGGGUUCGAGUUGAAUGGGAUCGAGGAAUCUGAGCUUCAAGGCUUACUGCCUCUCAGUGAUAGGUUUGUUGGUUUGCCUUUCAUUCACCGUCUCACAAGGACAAAUGUUCAUUUAGGCAUGAUGAAAAUCCCCAAGAAAGUUGCCGCUGCUACGCUUUUUGAAAAACAUGAUUUUGGUAUUGUUUGUAUGGAUGGUGGGAAUUUCAAAAGAAUCCCAUACCGCACUUACGGUGAUGGCCGAAUUGUGAAUGUCAACAAUGUUGUUCUUUUUGGAUUCAAGAACAGCAAGAGUAGCGAGAUUGAUUCAUUUGUGAUCACGAGGAAGCUUGGGUAG